ACGGAAGGCAGCAGCUAAGAAUAUUCCGCAAUGGACGAAAGUCUGACGGAGCGACGCCGCGUGGAUGAUGAAGGUCGGAAGAUUGUAAAAUCCUUUUGGACAUGAGGAAUAAGGAGAGUGAGAGAAACGCUUUCCGGUGACUGUAGUGUCAGAAUAAGCAACGGCUAAUUACGUGCCAGCAGCCGCGGUAACACGUAAGUUGCGAGCGUUGUUCGGAAUUAUUGGGCGUAAAGGGCAUGUAGGCGGUUUUGCAAGCUUGAUGUGAAAGGCAGGAGCUUAACUCCUGGACUGCAUUGAGAACUGCAUGACUAGAGUCACUGAGGGGCAAUCAGAAUUCCUGGUGUAGGGGUGAAAUCUGUAGAUAUCAGGAAGAAUACCAAUGGCGAAGGCAGGUUACCAGCAGAUGACUGACGCUGAGGUGCGAAGGUGCGGGGAGCAAACAGGAUUAGAUACCCUGGUA
rnacentral:rRNA from 1 species